ensembl:snoRNA SNORA70 Small nucleolar RNA SNORA70
UAACAAUAUGAAAUGUAAUGAGCUCCUCUCCCCAUGGGGGUUUGAUGUGCAGUGGCUGCAGACAGCAGCCCCCUUGGUAGUGGACACAGACUGCUGCUUUUAUGAGUUGCCCUUAGGGGCCUUGGAGACAGUC